CCUCGGGCUCCAGCUCCACCUGCACCGUGGGCCGGAAGAACACGUACUUGCUCUCCAGACUGUUGAGGCUGCAAGACCCCGACAGGCGCUGAUCGUCUGCAAGGCGGGGUGCGAGGGGCCCGGAAACCCGCAGCGCAAACAGCGCGGAAUCCAGACGCCGGAGAAGGGGCCAGAAGGGCGCGGGCCACACACAUCCCGGGGCACCCAGCCUCCGUGCGGCACCUCCAGCCAGCCGCGGGUCAAGGCCGCUUCCCCUCCGCGGCCCGCCCGCCGGGGGUCCUCCAUCUCCCACGGGGUCGCCCGCACAGCCUCCUCCUCCGUUCCCUGGGACGGCCCAGGGCCACGCGGGGAAAGAAGCCCAAGCCCGCUGCGAGCAAAGGCAGGAGCCCAGGAGCCCCUCUGCAGCCCCAGCCCGCCCGCCCCGGCCCGCCGCCGAGCGCCCGCAGAGCCUCCGGCGUGCGUUUGUCCCGCAGAGGCGUUCAGAGCGCUACACCCGCCCGCACUCUUCUAGAUGCGCCGGGAACGUCGGUUCACUCCAGAGCUCCAUCAGCGCGGACAGGGCAGACCUUCUCCAACUCGAGCAGCACCUGGAGAACCCAUCAAAAUAGUUUCCUGCCCCGCCCUCGCCCCACCGGCCGGCCUUAACUCCGCUGGGCCAGGGGAGUCCCGGAAAGUGCAUUUCUAACAACUUCGCAGCUGGUGCCAAAGCUACUGGUCCCAGGACAGCGCCCUGAGAGCCGCCGCCGCUGCCCUAGGAGCCCGCUGCCUGACAGAACAUCGCGGGACAGUGCUCGCUUCGGCAGCACGUGUGCCGAACUUGGCAGGACUCAGAGAUGCUCUGUGUCUGCCUGGAGCCCGCGGUUCCCUGGGGGACAGUGCCGCUCCGACAGGGCCUUGCUCUUGCUCCCUCUCUCGCACACUCCCACCUUCCUCUCACUACAGACCUCACCUUUGCCCUUGGAGAAGCAGAAGCCAGCAGAUGGCGUCUCCUCUAACUCUUCCUACCGCUGCCAUCACUCUAGCUGAGGCGCCAGCCCAGAGCCCUGCUUCCGCCCCACGCAGCACAUGGGACCCUCUGACCGCCAUGUGUUCCUGUCCAGCAUCCCUGGGCAGUAGUCACCUGCAUUCUCUCCCCGCCAUUGGCUGGGCCAGUCAGGCUUCCCUGCCAGCUGCACUCCCCUAACAGCUCUGGGCUGGAUCCCGAGUGCUCUGUUCUUCCCUCCUGCCCAGGGGACCUCAGCAGCUCCCAAAGUCACACCUCCAGCCCUGCGCUCUCUUGAGUGCUCCAGACGUGUCCAGCUGACAGCCCCACCGAGGUCUUCUCUCACAUGCCCCCCCUCCAGGCUUUCCUGGCUGAGUGAGUGGCCCUCCAGCCCACCUACUGGCACCUCGGAGUCCUCUUCUUCCCACCGCAGCCAAGACUACGAACUCAUUACCAGGAAGCCUAACCUGUUCUCCCUCACUGCUCUAGUCCAGCUACCACUGUGCCCCAGCCGGACUACCGAAACCUCUCUCCCUCCGCCUCCCUGCCUCAUACUCCCCCUCCGUGCCAUUGUCCAUACAGAGUGGUGUGGGGGGACUGGCCCCUGGACGAUCACAGCCUCUUCCUGUGUUGGUUUCCCAUGAGCCCAGGGACAGCAAGCCCCUGUCCCCUUUCAAAGCAGUUGGAUCUGAAGCCAGAGGCCUUCCAAGAGGGGCUCCUGGCUGGCUCAGCUGACAGGGCAUGUCUCUUGAUCUCAGGGUCAUGAGUGUGGAGCUUACUUUAAAAAAAAAAAAAAAAAAAAAAUCCUUCCCAUAAAUUCCCCUUCAUAUAUCAUCGGUUUGGGUUGGGGUUCCAAGGGACAGAAGCAUAUGCUUACUUGUACGCUGCCUGUGGUUUUUUUUUUUCCCCAGAAAAUGUAAAUGGACUAUGUGUGUAUUGUUCUCUCCCUACCCAAAAAGUGAUUGUUGAAUGA